UACGUAGGGUGCUAGCGUUGUCCGGAAUUAUUGGGCGUAAAGAGCUCGUAGGCGGCCCGUCGCGUCGGAUGUGAAAGCCCGGGGCUCAACCCCGGGACUGCAUUCGAUACGGGCGGGCUAGAGUUCGGUAGGGGAGAGUGGAAUUCCUGGUGUAGCGGUGAAAUGCGCAGAUAUCAGGAGGAACACCGGUGGCGAAGGCGGGUCUCUGGGCCGAUACUGACGCUGAGGAGCGAAAGCGUGGGGAGCGAACAGG
rnacentral:rRNA from 1 species